rnacentral:rRNA from 1 species
CCUACGGGCGGCAGCAGUGAGGAAUAUUGGUCAAUGGACGAGAGUCUGAACCAGCCAAGUAGCGUGAAGGAUGACUGCCCUAUGGGUUGUAAACUUCUUUUAUAUGGGAAUAAAACGUUCCACGUGUGGGAUUUUGUAUGUACCAUAUGAAUAAGGAUCGGCUAACUCCGUGCCAGCAGCCGCGGUAAUACAGAGGAUCCGAGCGUUAUCCGGAUUUAUUGGGUUUAAAGGGAGCGUAGGUGGAUUGUUAAGUCAGUUGUGAAAGUUUGCGGCUCAACCGUAAAAUUGCAGUUGAAACUGGCAGUCUUGAGUACAGUAGAGGUGGGCGGAAUUCGUGGUGUAGCGGUGAAAUGCUUAGAUAUCACGAAGAACUCCGAUUGCGAAGGCAGUUCACUGGACUGCAACUGACACUGAGGCUCGAAAGUGUGGGUAUCAAACAGGAUUAGAUACCCUUGUAGUC